CUUGAGAGUCUUUUUCCCAAUGUUUUUAAUUUGUGUUAUUGAAUUAGAUAUUUAAAAGUAAUUUCUUUUUGAAUGGUUUUUGGUUGGACUUGACCUACCCGUAGAACUGACCCAAACUGAGUCCAUAUUAACUGUACUUCUACUUUUUCCCAAGUUUGGCUGUUUAAUGCAGUUUUCCUUAAACGUGGCAGUGUUUCAGACUGUGAGGGGCCCUGCUGAGCUCAGCUGGCAAACUGGUUCCUGGGGCAGUACUUGCCUUAUUUCUAAUUCUUUUUCUAUAAUUUCCAUAUAUUUCCACUAAUGCUCCAGUCUGUAA